GGGUGGUUAGUUUAAUGGGAAAACAUUAAGUAAUCUUUCUACUAUUGUCUGAAAAGAAUGCUUGAGAGAUUUACAUUUCACGGCUAAUGAAAAGAUACAGGUUCGAGUCCUGUACCACCCUCCA
rnacentral:tRNA from 1 species